rnacentral:rRNA from 1 species
GAUGAACGCUGGCGGCGUGCCUAAUACAUGCAAGUCGAGCGAACAGACGAGGAGCUUGCUCCUCUGACGUUAGCGGCGGACGGGUGAGUAACACGUGGAUAACCUACCUAUAAGACUGGGAUAACUUCGGGAAACCGGAGCUAAUACGGGAUAAUAUAUUGAACCGCAUGGUUCAAUAGUGAAAGAGGGUUUUGCUGUAACUUAUAGAUGGAUCCGCGCCGCAUUAGCUAGUUGGUAAGGUAACGGCUUACCAAGGCAACGAUGCGUAGCCGACCUGAGAGGGUGAUCGGCCACACUGGAACUGAGACACGGUCCAGACUCCUACGGGAGGCAGCAGUAGGGAAUCUUCCGCAAUGGGCGAAAGCCUGACGGAGCAACGCCGCGUGAGUGAUGAAGGUCUUCGGAUCGUAAAACUCUGUUAUUAGGGAAGAACAAAUGUGUAAGUAACUAUGCACGUCUUGACGGUACCUAAUCAGAAAGCCACGGCUAACUACGUG